GACGAACGCUGGCGGCGUGCUUAACACAUGCAAGUCGAGCGGUAAGGCCUUUCGGGGUACACGAGCGGCGAACGGGUGAGUAACACGUGGGUGAUCUGCCCUGCACUUCGGGAUAAGCCUGGGAAACUGGGUCUAAUACCGGAUAUGACCUCCUAUCGCAUGGUGGGUGGUGGAAAGAUUUAUCGGUGCAGGAUGGGCCCGCGGCCUAUCAGCUUGUUGGUGGGGUAAUGGCCUACCAAGGCGACGACGGGUAGCCGACCUGAGAGGGUGACCGACCACACUGGGACUGAGACACGGCCCAGACUCCUACGGGAGGCAGCAGUGGGGAAUAUUGCACAAUGGGCGAAAGCCUGAUGCAGCGACGCCGCGUGAGGGAUGACGGCCUUCGGGUUGUAAACCUCUUUCAGCAGGGACGAAGCGCAAGUGACGGUACCUGCAGAAGAAGCACCGGCUAACUACGUG
rnacentral:rRNA from 1 species